rnacentral:rRNA from 1 species
GACGAACGCGGCGGCGUGCUUAACACAUGCAAGUCGAACGGUGACGCUAGAGCUUGCUCUGGUUGAUCAGUGGCGAACGGGUGAGUAACACGUGAGUAACCUGCCCUUGACUCUGGGAUAACUCCGGGAAACCGGGGCUAAUACCGGAUACGAGACGCGAUCGCAUGGUCGGCGUCUGGAAAGUUUUUCGGUCAAGGAUGGACUCGCGGCCUAUCAGCUAGUUGGUGAGGUAACGGCUCACCAAGGCGUCGACGGGUAGCCGGCCUGAGAGGGCGACCGGCCACACUGGGACUGAGACACGGCCCAGACUCCUACGGGAGGCAGCAGUGGGGAAUAUUGCACAAUGGGCGAAAGCCUGAUGCAGCGACGCCGCGUGAGGGAUGAAGGCCUUCGGGUUGUAAACCUCUUUCAGUAGGGAAGAAGCGAAAGUGACGUACCUGC